rnacentral:tRNA from 1 species
GCCGGCGUGGUGAAACUGGCAGACGCACAAGACUCAAAAUCUUGCGAGGGUUACGCCUCGUGUCGGUUCGAGUCCGACCGCCGGCA